rnacentral:misc_RNA from 1 species
GAUGAAGAACGUAGCAAAAUGCGAUAAGUAAUGUGAAUUGCAGAAUUCAGUGAAUCAUCGAAUCUUUGAACGCACAUUGCGCCCGCCAGUAUUCUGGCGGGCAUGCCUGUUCGAGCGUCAUUUCAACCCUCAAGCACAGCUUGGUGUUGGGACUCGCGUUAAUUCGCGUUCCCCAAAUUGAUUGGCGGUCACGUCGAGCUUCCAUAGCGUAGUAGUAAAACCCUCGUUACUGGUAAUCGUCGCGGCCACGCCGUUAAACCCCAACUUCUGAAUGUUGACCUCUGAUCAGGUAGGAAUACCCGCUGAACUUAAGCAUAUCAAUAAGCGGAGGA